UCCAGCUGGAUGGGGUAUGGUGGUUAUGAGGCUCAGCCAACUCUUCCCAAGUAUUUCCAGCUUGUGCAGCUUUGGUUUUUCAAUGGAAUGCUAAUAAUUGAUGUGGGAGGAUGCAAGCAGAAUUACCCAGCAGUUCCUCUUGCCAGCUCAGGGUUGGUAUCUGAAGAUCUUUCCCACUGGACACUCAAAUGCGCAUCAUGGAGGUCCUCAUGCAACUGCCUAAAAGCCAUUUGUGAAGCAAGGAAGGGGCUAGUGCCUUUGGCCCACUCAUUUGCAAGGAAAAACCUCAAUUACAGUGUUGGUUUUGGACAUUCUGCUCAUGUCACAGAGAUUUAUGAUGUCUGAGUCACAGGGAGCCCCUUUUGCUGCAAAAUAAACCCAGCUUUGGACUAUU